rnacentral:lncRNA from 1 species
UUACAAGUAAAGAGAUGGGGGAUUUAUAGCUAAAGAUUUAGGGUUUAGGGGUAGGGUGGCUAAAUCUUGUCCAUCCAUGUGCCAUGUGUGUUGGGUAGAUCAUAGCCCUCCAUGUGCCCCCUUACUUGCCAACUCUUUUUGAUUUUCUUCUUUUCUUUUCCCUUUUCUUCUUUUUCUUGCAUUUUCUCUUCUUUCUUUAUUUAUCUACAAUUUCCUGAAAUAAAAUAAAUAAGCGAUUAAUACUACGAAAAUAAACAAAAAAUAGGCACUUAAAUAUGCAAAAAUAUGGACUAAUCAAACUUCCCCAUACCUAUCUUUUGCUCGUCCUCGAGUAAAAAUCAAAAGAAAAGAAAAUAAACUAAGAAAACUAGAUGCGAUUCCUAGGCUCCUUUUCGUAGGCGUGACGGGUGAUUUUAGGUUCACCAACC